GUAGGGAAUAUUGGGCAAUGGUCGGAAGACUGACCCAGUCAUGCCGCGUGCAGGAAGACGGCCCUCUGGGUUGUAAACUGCUUUUAUCUGGGAAGAAAAAGGCCAUGCGUGGCAAAUUGCCGGUACCAGAUGAAUAAGCACCGGCUAACUCCGUGCCAGCAGCCGCGGUAAUACGGAGGGUGCGAGCGUUGUCCGGAUUUAUUGGGUUUAAAGGGUGCGUAGGCGGCUGAUUAAGUCAGCGGUGAAAGACUUCGGCUUAACCGGAGCAGUGCCGUUGAUACUGGUUGGCUUGAGUGUCGGAGGGGUACAUGGAAUUGAUGGUGUAGCGGUGAAAUGCAUAGAUACCAUCAGGAACACCGAUAGCGAAGGCAUUGUACUGGCCGACAACUGACGCUGAUGCACGAAAGUGUGGGGAUCGAACAGGAUUAGAAACCCUGGUAGUCC
rnacentral:rRNA from 1 species